AAGUCGUAACAAGGUUUCCGUAGGUGAACCUGCGGAAGGAUCAUUAACGAAUUUGCGACUGAAAAGUCACUAAUUCCACACUAUGUUUUAAGUGUUUUCUUCAAGAAGACACGAAAACUGUUCAUAUCACAUAUGACAAAAAUUAAUAAAAUUAAAACUUUCAACAACGGAUCUCUUGGUUCUG
rnacentral:misc_RNA from 1 species